ensembl:processed_transcript
CGCGAGAGUAUUCUAGGCCGCUCGUGUGAUCAAACAGAUCCACUCCAUUCCCGGGAACAUCAUCGAGAUUAGAGGUGGGCUCUCAACUUUAUUCCAAUGGCGGACGGGAGUCCUUUGAAUCUGUAUUGAGGUGCCGAUCGCCGCGUGCACACGCGAAGCAGUGGAGACUCGCAGCAGGACGACCUUAUCGAAGGCCGUUAGAGAUCCAGAACCAUCCGCUGCUGUAUAAUAGCGGU